GAGAGCACAAUACGAUGAAAGUUGUAAGCUGUGUUCGGGGGGGAGUUAUUGUCUAUCGUUGGCCUCUAUGGUAGAAUCAAUCGGGGGCCCGAUAAGUGGUGGUUUACCCUGU
rnacentral:ncRNA from 1 species